rnacentral:rRNA from 1 species
UGCGUAGGCGGGCUAAUAAGUCAGUGGUGAAAUCUCUCGGCUCAACCGGGAAACUGCCAUUGAUACUGUUAGUCUUGAGUUCGGUUGAGGUAGGCGGAAUGUGUAAUGUAGCGGUGAAAUGCUCAGAUAUUACACAGAACACCAAUUGCGUAGGCAGCUUACUAGACCGACACUGACGCUGAGGCACGAAAGCGUGGGGAGCAAACAGGAUUAGAUACCCUGGUAGUCC